rnacentral:rRNA from 1 species
GAUGAACGCUGGCGGCGUGCUUAACACAUGCAAGUCGAACGGAAAGGCCCAAGCUUGCUUGGGUACUCGAGUGGCGAACGGGUGAGUAACACGUGGGUGAUCUGCCCUGCACUUCGGGAUAAGCCUGGGAAACUGGGUCUAAUACCGGAUAGGACGAUGGUUUGGAUGCCAUUGUGGAAAGUUUUUUCGGUGUGGGAUGAGCUCGCGGCCUAUCAGCUUGUUGGUGGGGUAAUGGCCUACCAAGGCGUCGACGGGUAGCCGGCCUGAGAGGGUGUACGGCCACAUUGGGACUGAGAUACGGCCCAGACUCCUACGGGAGGCAGCAGUGGGGAAUAUUGCACAAUGGGCGCAGGCCUGAUGCAGCGUCGCCGCGUGGGGGAUGACGGCCUUCGGGUUGUAAACUCCUGUCGCUAGGGACGAAGCGUUUUUGUGACGGUACCUGGAGAAGAAGCACCGGCUAACUACGUG